CCAGAAGGUCGGAUGGCCGCGCGCCGGCAAUGGGGAAACCCGCCGGCGCGAGGAAAGUCCGGGCUCCACGGAAACACGGUGCCGGUUAACGACCGGCGGGGGCAACCCUAGGGAAAGUGCCACAGAAAGCAAACCGCCCGCCAAAGCCUUUGGCGAUGGCAGGUAAGGGUGAAAGGGUGCGGUAAGAGCGCACCGCGCCGGCGGCAACGUCGGCGGCACGGCAAACCCCACCGGGAGCAAGACCGAAUAGGGGCGGCAUCAUGGCGGGUUUCCGCGUCGCCGCCCGGGUGGGUCGCGCGAGGCGUCCGGCGACGGGCGUCCCAGAUGAAUGGCCAUCCAUCGCCGGCCACAGGCUUCGGCCCAGGUCGACGAGGACAGAACCCGGCUUACAGACCUUCUGGCCCA
rnacentral:RNase_P_RNA from 1 species